rnacentral:rRNA from 1 species
UACGUAGGUGGCAAGCGUUGUCCGGAUUUAUUGGGUUUAAAGGGUGCGUAGGCGGCCCCGUAAGUCAGUGCUGAAAUAUCCCGGCUUAACCGGGAGGGUGGCAUUGAUACUGCAGGGCUUGAGUAAAGUUGAGGUAGGCGGAAUUGACGGUGUAGCGGUGAAAAUGCUUAGAUAUCGUCAAGAACACCGAUAGUGUAGACAGCUUACUAAGCUUUAACUUGACGCUGAGGCACGAAAAGUGUGGGGGAUCAAAACAGG